rnacentral:rRNA from 1 species
UCCCGAGGCAUAUCGCAGCCUCCCACGUCCUUCAUCGGCUCCUGGUGCCAAGACAUCCACCGUGCGCCCUUAAUAACUUGGCCACAAAGAUAAAGAUGCUCGCGUCCACUGUGCAGUUCUCAAACUACGAACGGAAACCAGCCGCACCUGCGGGACCCACCACCAUAAAAGACAGCGGUAUCCCACGACGAACCAGCCCGCAAACCUGCCUCCCACCAGCCCCAACGGGCCAGCAGAAGGCAGGAUCGUACACGAGGGCAACUCACUCCCUCACAACCCAACAGCGUACCGAUCCACCCAGACAACCCACCACCCAGAGAACACACAGGAACCCCGGACAACAGACCAGACCAGACAGAAACAUAGUCAGCGUUCCACACCCAUGAGCACCCAGACCAACCAUCCAGCUGGUCUUCGCUCUGGACCAGACACCCUCCACUACAGAAGGCACCCAGCCAGAAAGCUCCUUAGAAAGGAGGUGAUCCAGCCGCACCUUCCGGUACGGCUACCUUGUUACGACUUCGUCCCAAUCGCCGGUCCCACCUUCGACGGCUCCCCCCACAAGGGUUGGGCCACCGGCUUCGGGUGUUACCGACUUUCGUGACGUGACGGGCGGUGUGAAAAG